GCAGAAGGAUCAUUAGUGAAGAUUUGGGCAGGCCAUACGGACGCCAAAAAGUGUCCCUGGCCGCCUACACCCACUAUACAUCCACAAACCCGUGUGCACUGUCUUGGAGAAAGGCUUCAGAGAAGGUUUUUGUGGCCUCUCUUGGGGUCUUUCUUCGCUACAAACUCGAAUGGUUAGUAUGAACGUGGAACUUGGUUGGACCGUCACUGGCCAACAAACUAUACACAACUUUCGACAACGGAUCUCUUGGUUCUCCCA
rnacentral:misc_RNA from 1 species